rnacentral:rRNA from 1 species
AGAUUAAGUUAUUAAGGGCGCACGGUGGAUGCCUUGGCACUAGAAGCCGACGAAGGACGUUACUAACGACGAUAUGCUUUGGGGAGCUGUAAGUAAGCUUUGAUCCAGAGAUUUCCGAAUGGGGAAACCCAGCACGAGUUAUGUCGUGUUAUCUGCAUGUGAAUACAUAGCAUGCAAGAAGGCAGACCCGGAGAACUGAAACAUCUUAGUACCCGGAGGAAGAGAAAGAAAAAUCGAUUCCCUGAGUAGCGGCGAGCGAAACGGGAAGAGCCCAAACCAAUAAGCUUGCUUAUUGGGGUUGUAGGACACUCUGUACGGAGUUACAAAAGAAUUUGUUAGACGAAUAACCUGGAAAGGUUAAUCAUAGAAGGUAAUAAUCCUGUAGUCGAAAACGAAUUCUCUCUUGAGUGGAU